GCUCCUUUGGGCUCAGUUGGUAGAGCGUCAGUCUCAUAAAUCUGAAGGUCGCAGUUCGAUCCUGGCAGGGAGCA
rnacentral:tRNA from 1 species